AUUUAAAAAUUUAUUAAUUAAAUAAUUUUUUAAAUAAAAAAUAAAAAAAUCUAUUUUAAAUAUAAAUGUUAAAUAUUAAAAAUUCAAAAUUAAAAUAUUUUAAAAAUUAAAAUUUAAAUUUAAAAAAUUUUUAAGAAAAAUUUAUUAUUUUUUCCUUUUGUAUCAGGAUUAAUUAAAAUAUAAAUUUUAAUAAUAAAUUCUCGAAAUAAAAAAAAUUAUAUAAAAAUAUUAGUUAAUGUAAAAAAAUUAUUAAAAAUUUUUAUAUAGAAAUUAUAUAUUAUUCAAUUUUUAUAAUAUCUAGUUAUUUAAUAAAAAAUUCAACUUUUCUAUAAAUUAAAAUUUCUAACCCUCAUAAUUUAGAAAUUUAAUUUUUAUAAAUAAAUUUAAGGGAUAAACUUUAAAUUAUAAAAAAAUUAAAUAAAUUUUAUUAUAUAAAUAUAAAUUUUAAAAUUUUUAAUAUUAAUAAAAAUUUAAUAAUUAAUAAAUAAUAUAAAAACAAAAAUUUAAAUUUAAAUUUUAAUUUAAAUUAAAUUAUUAAAAAUAAUAUGAAACUUUAAAAAAUAAUAAUUAAAUUAGUAAAAUUUAUAAAUUUAAACAAAUUUAAAGAUUUAUUUAAUAAACUAGGCAAAUUUUAUAUUCAACUGUUUAACAAAAACAUUUCUUAUUGAAAUUAAUUUUAAGUAUAAUCUGCCCAAUGAAAUAAUUUAAAUGGCUGCAGUAUUUAUAACUGUACUAAGGUAGCAUAAUAACUUGUUUUUUAAUUAAAAACUAGAAUAAAAGAUUAAAUGAAAUAUAAACUAUAUCAAAUAAAAUAAAAAUUUAAUUUAUUAUUUAAGUAAAAAAACUUAAAUAAACUAAAAAGACAACAAGACCCUAUAGAAUUUUAUUUUUUUAAAAAAUUUACUUAAUUAAUUAAAUUUAAAUAAAAUUUUAAAAAAAUUUAAUUGGGGUAAUUAAAAAAUUUAAAAAAUUUUUUUAAAAAUUAACAAUAAUAAAUGAAAAUUAAUUAAUUAUCUUUAAUAAAAAUUAAUAAUAUUAAUUACCUUAGGGAUAACAGCAUAAUUUUUUUUAAAAGAUCAAAUUAAUAAAAAAGAUUAUGACCUCGAUGUUGAAUUAAGAUCAAAUUUAAACGAAAAAAUUUAAAAUUUAAGUCUGUUCGACUUUUAAAAUCUUACAUGAUUUGAGUUAAGAUCGGUGUAAGCCAGAUCAGUUUAUAUCUUUUAAAAAAAUUAAUAUAAUUGUACGAAAGGAAUUUAUAUUUUAAAUAAUUUAUAAUAUAAAAAUAAAUUUUAAUUUUUAAAAU
rnacentral:rRNA from 1 species